ensembl:lncRNA
AAGAUGGCGGUCCAGCAUUUACAAAGAGAAAGAACUCAAAAGAAGAUACUUUGAAGAAUGCUGGUAAUCAAACCCAAGAGGUUUGUCAGGUGCAGAAAGGAAAGCUCCCAAACAAAGAUGUCACCAGAUUAAGAAGUGGAAAGACAUGUUACACCACCGCAGCCAUAAAUCCUGAGCGAUUUGAAAGGGGGCAACAACCAAGGAAAAGUACUCAUUGUUUCACUCAAAAAUGAUCCAUGGUAAUAGUUGUACAGUAAAUGAUUAGAUAAAUAAAAGUACAAAAUGUUUUUAAUUUUAAAACUUUGCCGUUUACUAAUGUGUUGUUCAAAACACUAAGUUUUGGUGUAUCUUUACAAUUAAGGUAUCAUUAGUUAACAUUAGUAAAUGUUGAAAUUAACAUUAAAUAACAAUGAG